rnacentral:rRNA from 1 species
GCUUCGGCCCUGGGGACAGCGGCGAACGGGUGAGUAACACGUGGGUAAUCUGCCCUCGGCACCGGAAUAGCCCGGGGAAACCCGGAUUAAUGCCGGAUGGCCCCUUCACCUCUCGAGGUGUCGGGAAAAGGUAGCUUCGGCCUCUGGCUGAGGAUGAGCCCGCGGCGGAUUAGCUUGUUGGCGGGGUAACGGCCCACCAAGGCGACGAUCCGUAGCUGGUCUGAGAGGAUGAUCAGCCACACUGGGACUGAGACACGGCCCAGACUCCUACGGGAGGCAGCAGUGGGGAAUAUUGGACAAUGGGCGCAAGCCUGAUCCAGCAAUGCCGCGUGAGUGAGGAAGGCCUUCGGG